rnacentral:rRNA from 1 species
GACGAACGCUGGCGGCGUGCUUAACACAUGCAAGUCGAACGGAAAGGCCCUGCUUGCAGGGUACUCGAGUGGCGAACGGGUGAGUAACACGUGGGUGAUCUGCCCUGCACUUCGGGAUAAGCCUGGGAAACUGGGUCUAAUACCGGAUAGGAGCCAUUUUUAGUGUGAUGGUUGGAAAGUUUUUUCGGUGUAGGAUGAGCUCGCGGCCUAUCAGCUUGUUGGUGGGGUAAUGGCCUACCAAGGCGGCGACGGGUAGCCGGCCUGAGAGGGUGGACGGCCACUGGGACUGAGAUACGGCCCAGACUCCUACGGGAGGCAGCAGUGGGGAAUAUUGCACAAUGGGCGCAAGCCUGAUGCAGCGACGCCGCGUGGGGGAUGACGGCCUUCGGGUUGUAAACUCCUUUCGCUAGGGACGAAGCUUUUUGUGACGGUACCUAGAUAAGAAGCACCGGCUAACUACGUG